GAUGAACGCUGGCGGCGUGCCUAAUACAUGCAAGUCGAGCGAACGGACGAGAAGCUUGCUUUUCUGAUGCUAGCGGCGGACGGGUGAGUAACACGUGGAUAACCUACCUAUAAGACUGGGAUAACUUCGGGAAACCGGAGCUAAUACCGGAUAAUAUUUUGAACCGCAUGGUUCAAAAGUGAAAGACGGUCUUGCUGUCACUUAUAGAUGGAUCCGCGCUGCAUUAGCUAGUUGGUAAGGUAACGGCUUACCAAGGCAACGAUGCAUAGCCGACCUGAGAGGGUGAUCGGCCACACUGGAACUGAGACACGGUCCAGACUCCUACGGGAGGCAGCAGUAGGGAAUCUUGCGCAAUGGGCGAAAGCCUGACGGAGCAACGCCGCGUGAGUGAUGAAGGUCUUCGGAUCGUAAAACUCUGUUAUUAGGGAAGAACAUAUGUGUAAGUAACUGUGCACAUCUUGACGGUACCUAAUCAGAAAGCCACGGCUAACUACGUG
rnacentral:rRNA from 1 species